UACGUAGGUGGCAAGCGUUGUCCGGAUUUACUGGGCGUAAAGAGCUCGUAGGCGGCUUGGCAAGUCGGGUGUGAAAACUCCAGGCUCAACCUGGAGACGCCACCCGAUACUGCCAUGGCUAGAGUCCGGUAGGGGACCACGGAAUUCCUGGUGUAGCGGUGAAAUGCGCAGAUAUCAGGAGGAACACCGGUGGCGAAGGCGGUGGUCUGGGCCGGAACUGACGCUGAGGAGCGAAAGCGUGGGGAGCGAACAGG
rnacentral:rRNA from 1 species